CCGACACCUCCUCUUCUAUAAUGCUCCCGCCAGUGUCCGUUCUCCGUUGGGUUACCGGCCGCAAACCUGAAAUAUAGCGGAAAAUUGGACUAACCAGAGAAGAUGACCUGGAAUCUGGCAGAUUUAUCUAUGUGAAGGACACAUGACAGGACAAUGUUCCAUGCCACAAUGCCAGGUCAAUCAAGGUGUGGAUGGAGGACCACCAGACCAAGACCCUGUCAUGGCCAGCCAAAUCUCCAGUCCUGAACCCCAUGGAAACCUCUAUAAUGUGAUCAAGAGGAAGAUGGAUGACAAGCCAUAAAACAAAGCCGAGCUUCUUGAAUUUUUGUGCCAGGAGUAGUAUGAAGUCGCCCAACAGCAAUGUGAAAGACUGGUGGAGAGCAUGACAAGACGCAUGAAAGCUGUAAUUGAAAAUCAGGGUUAUUUUACCAAAGAUUGAUUUCUGAACUCUUGCUUACUACAUUAAAACAUUAGUAUUGUGUUGUUUAAAAAAAUAA